CAGCCGCCACGGUAACACGUAGGGUGCAAGCGUUAAUCGGAAUUACUGGGCGUAAAGCGUGCGCAGGCGGUUAUAUAAGACAGAUGUGAAAUCCCCGGGCUCAACCUGGGAACUGCAUUUGUGACUGUAUAGCUAGAGUACGGCAGAGGGGGAUGGAAUUCCGCGUGUAGCAGUGAAAUGCGUAGAUAUGCGGAGGAACACCGAUGGCGAAGGCAAUCCCCUGGGCCUGUACUGACGCUCAUGCACGAAAGCGUGGGGAGCAAACAGGAUUAGAUACCCCUGUAGUCCCUGUCUCUUAUAU
rnacentral:rRNA from 1 species